rfam:Gasterosteus aculeatus cont1.009701, whole genome shotgun sequence.
UUUAAAGUGUAAUGUAAGUCGCUUUGGAUAAAAGCGUCUGCUAAAAGACCUGUA